rnacentral:tRNA from 1 species
GGAGGGGUUCCCAAGUGGCCAAAGGGAGCGGACUGUAAAUUCGCCGGCUCAGCCUUCGGAGGUUCGAAUCCUCCUCCCUCCACCA